GUAACAAGGUUUCCGUAGGUGAACCUGCGGAAGGAUCAUUACCGAGUGAGGACCUAACCGGUCCAACCUCCCACCCGUGUCUAUCGUACCUUGUUGCUUCGGCGGGCCCGCCAUUCGUGGCCGCCGGGGGGCAUUUCGCCCCCGGGCCCGCGCCCGCCGGAGACACCAACACGAACACUGUCUGAAGGUUGCAGUCUGAGUCGAUUUAUUUAAUCGUUAAAACUUUCAACAACGGAUCUCUUGGUUCCGGCAUCGAUGAAGAACGCAGCGAAAUGCGAUAAUUAAUGUGAAUUGCAGAAUUCAGUGAAUCAUCGAGUCUUUGAACGCACAUUGCGCCCCCUGGUAUUCCGGGGGGCAUGCCUGUCCGAGCGUCAUUGCUGCCCUCAAGCACGGCUUGUGUGUUGGGUCGCCGUCCCCUUCCCGGGGGACGGGCCCGAAAGGCAGCGGCGGCACCGCGUCCGGUCCUCGAGCGUAUGGGGCUUUGUCACCCGCUCUGUAGGCCCGGCCGGCGCCUGCCGACCACCAACCUUUUUUUAACCAGGUUGACCUCGGAUCAGGUAGGGAUACCCGCUGAACUUAAGCAUAUC
rnacentral:misc_RNA from 1 species